rnacentral:rRNA from 1 species
UGGGGAAUAUUGCACAAUGGGCGCAAGCCUGAUGCAGCCAUGCCGCGUGUGUGAAGAAGGCCUUCGGGUUGUAAAGCACUUUCAGCGAGGAGGAAGGUGGUGAACUUAAUACGUUCAUCAAUUGACGUUACUCGCAGAAGAAGCACCGGCUAACUCCGUGCCAGCAGCCGCGGUAAUACGGAGGGUGCAAGCGUUAAUCGGAAUUACUGGGCGUAAAGCGCACGCAGGCGGUUUGUUAAGUCAGAUGUGAAAUCCCCGGGCUCAACCUGGGAACUGCAUUUGAAACUGGCAAGCUAGAGUCUCGUAGAGGGGGGUAGAAUUCCAGGUGUAGCGGUGAAAUGCGUAGAGAUCUGGAGGAAUACCGGUGGCGAAGGCGGCCCCCUGGACGAAGACUGACGCUCAGGUGCGAAAAGCGUGGGGAGCAAACAGGAUUAGAUAACCCUGGUAGUCCACGCUGUAAAACGAUGUCGAUUUUGGAGGUUGUGCCCUUGAGGCGUGGCUUCCGGAGCUAACGCGUUAAAUCGACCGCCUGUGGAGUACGGCCGCAAGGUUAAAACUCAAAUGAAUUGACGGGGUCAUAGCUGUUUCCU